GGCCUGGUGGCAUAACGGUAACGCGCGCACUCGAGUUUUCUACUUCUCCACGAUAUUACAAUUGCGAGACCCUCGUUCGAUUCGAGGUCAGGCCA